rnacentral:tRNA from 1 species
ACUAGAGUGGCAGAUAUUAUGUAUCAAAUUUAAGUUUUGGGGAUUUUUUCUAGUU